CAGGAGUGCUGUGCCUGCUUUGGAACUGCCUUGCGCUAUUUUCACAGAUUUGGCAAAACAGACAAGCAUCUCCUAGGACUGACACCAAUAUAACUGAUUCAGCCUUAUAGUAAGAGGAAGAACUUAAAGACUUCUCCAGAUCCUUACCAGUAUUCUGAUGAUGAGAAAAAUAAUGUUGAUAACACCCUGAUGUUUUACUUGUUGCUGAACAGUGCUGUACAGAGCCAAGGAUGCUUCAGCUUCUCACACUGUCCUGCCAGCGACAGGGGCUGAGGGGCACAAGCAGCUGGGAGGGGACAAAACCAGGACAGCUGAUCUAAACUUGCCAAAGGGAUAUUCCAUACCAUAUAACAUCAUGUGAAAAAAAAACUAUGAAAUCGAGGGGAGUUGGCUGAGGAAUGGCUGCUGUUCAGGGCCUGGUUGGGUAUUGGUUGGUGGGUGGUGAGCAACGUGCUGUGUAUCCCUUGUUUUGUAAAUCUGUAAUUAUCGUGACUAUUAUUUUUCUCUUCCUUUUCUGUCAUAGUAGAUAGUUGUUUUUUUUAUCUCAACCUACGAGUUUUACUUCUUUUUUCACUUACAGUUCUCUCCCACAUCCCUCAGUGUGGAGGGUGAUGGUAGAAUGGCUAAGUGGUUCUGAGCUGCUUCCAGGUUAAACCACAGCACUUCUAUUUGAAAUUGUCUUCCUACUUUAAGUAAUGUUCCUAGUUUAAGUAAUGUUCCUACUGAUAACAUAACCAGUGAAAUUGUUCCAUAUCAAAGAUAAAUAUAUAUUUAUAUAUAUAUAUAAUUCUACAUAACCUGUUAAUUUUUUGUUGUUGUUGUUUUAAUGAAUAAACAUUUUGGUCUAUAUAUUUGUCAAAGUUUUCUCCUGGCUUUACGAGUCUAACACAUGCAAUCUAUCGGUCACUGAGAGCUCAUUUGCUGCAGUAACGUUCUUUGACUGCUACAAAGAGGGGAGAGGGGGGGGGAUGGACCAGCAAUUUUUUGAAAUGUUAUUCCAUGGCAAAUUUGGCCAAAGAAUAUGCUGUACUUAAACCAUGACUGCAGGAUAGCAUACACAUACCUCAUUGCUUGCAGCAGUUUUUUCAUUUGGCCCUCACUCAUUUUCU
ensembl:lncRNA